AUGGUAUUUUACAGGCUCAAAUUGAGGGGAAGGAACUCUUCUCGCUGCUGUGGGAUGGUGAGCACAGUGAUCGUGCUCCUCUCUGCGGUGGGGAAGCUCUGGCAGAGGGAUGCUCUCCAAGUGUGGUUUCUGUGCCUAUCCCCUGUUUUGGAUGCCAAAGACCUUCCUUUAUUGGAUCCACGUUUUCUGGUGGACAAUCCGGCUGUGGCUUGUCUGUCUCAGUGGAUGAUGCAGUGUCCCUUGAAGGCAGUGCUACUGCAGCACACCCAAAAAACAGUGAAAGGAAAGCUGUACUGUCUCCAGGAUGCCAAUGACACCUCUGCAGGAGCUUGAUUCCAGUGCUGGACCUGACUACCAGUGCAAAGACCAGUGCCACCUCAGGAGAUACCUGGAGCUGAAUUCAUUGCAGUAUUCCAUGUCUUUACAAAGAAACUGUGAUAUCUGAAGAAAUGGAGACAGUAUCAGAAGAGAGAAAGACCUGAUUCCUCUACCAUUAAUUUAUUCAUGUAGCUGAAGCUGUCUAUAAAACAUCUGAUUUCACAAAUAAGGCAACUUUAGUGAAUUAAAAGAAUUAAACAUUUUAUGAAAAAUGUUCGUAUUUUUCAGUUCAGUCUAUGUAAAGCCCCAAGAAAACCUCUUUGUCUUAAAUUUUUCAUGGGAUUUAUAUUAAUGCCAUAAUUUCCCUCAUAUAAAUUAAUACUUCUGAGUAUUUAGAAGGCUGUGGUAGAAAGCCUGUUGUGGUUAGCACCUUUCCACCAUUUCAGGUGUAGAAAAUUUCAGGAAAGACACAGAGAGGGAUCAGCUGUUGAACAAACAGUGAGAGGGCUGAGCAGAUGUUCCCUUCCCUAAGCAGCACUCAUCCUGGACUCUGCAGGAGGUGAGAAUGCACUGGAGAAAACACCUCAUAUCCUGAAAAUAAAGGCAACCUCAUGAUGUACA
rnacentral:lncRNA from 1 species